UGGUAAUCCCCUUUGCGCAAGGUCACAGCGUGCCUGGAGUAUCGGUUGGUUUACCCUUGAACGAUUGCGUCUUUUUUUGUUAGCCUGAGGGGUCCUCG
rnacentral:tRNA from 1 species